GGUGAAGAGAUCUUGUGGUUUUUAAGAACCUGCCGGCAAGAGUUUGCCUUGCCGUCAGCCUGGUCUACUGUAUCCCAGCAUCCUCUGCGGUUGCAGAUGGUGCGAGGACACUUAAAGGAGCUCACAGAAUCCCAGUAGCACAAAAUUGGGCUUUGGCAAAUCAUGUAUUUUGUGUAUAGAGGGAAUCUAAGGAGAGGAAUUGCUUAUUUUCAUAUUGUAUUUUAACUGUUUCUCUGAUCAGAAUUUUUUUACUUCCUCCUCCUGUUCCUCCCCUGCCCCCCACGCCCACUCCCCACUCCAGUCUCUGGAGUUCAAUGUCUUCUCUGCCAAUCAUCUCUGUUUAUUUCUCCUUCCCUUCCCCACGCCCCCUAUCUGUGGUCAUAAAUAUUGCAUUAUCCAUCCUUUCAAACUGUGUAUUUUCUUACAAUAAAAAAUGAUGACG
rnacentral:lncRNA from 1 species